AAAGUUUUAAGUUAAUCUAAACUAAUAAUCUUCAAAAUUAUAAAUAAAUAAAAUUUAAACUUUA
rnacentral:tRNA from 1 species